GAGGCUGGCCUGGUACCUGCUGAGCUGCCUCCUCAAUCGGAUUGCCUCCAUCAGGCGUGUGCUGAGCUGCUGACAAAGCCCAGCUGUCCCCAGGCAGUGCAGGGGAACGCUUUCUGCCGCACACCUAUUAUCCCAGGUCCUUCAGUUUUCCUGGGUAUCGUCGCCGCUACAGCCCAGCAUCCCUCUGAUAUCACUGACCGCUCCCUCAGAGAAAUCUGUAGGAAGUUUAUGCUGUUCAUAUUUUAUAAAGCCUGUGCCCUGUUACUUUGACUCCUGAAACCACAAUGCCCAAAUUAGACAGCGUGCUACAGUGAGAAGCCUCAGGUAUUAACUAUUCCAUUUUCAAAAGCUAUAUUUUCACUGGUUAUGAAAUUUACACUUCUCAAUACUCAUUCCCAGUGUCAAUGACAGGAAGGUGCCCAGGAACUGCUUACAGCAUGGAUCCCUGCUGCAUCUCGUCUUCAGGUGCUGAUAAUGAAGUGCAGGGCAAGCUGUACGUAAUUGGAGGAAAAAACAAAGAUUACGGUAAAACAAGCUAUGGAAAAUAGCUACAGCAUAUUAAUGUGGAAUGCAUCUAAUCCUAUCUAAUUUUGUUUAAUUUAUCAUAAAGUUCAUCUCUAAGAUUUACCAUUUGUGAGACUGGAAUAGGUUCAGUGACAAAAACAUUGCAAGUCAAUCCCUUGCAGCACGUUCUGUUAAGGAGAGCUAUUCAAAUUGUGCUAAAUUCAUUUUAUGCAAUGAAAAAAAAAUUUUUUUAGCAUUUUGUCUGAAAGAAGACAAGAUUGGCAGCAUUUACAAUGGUGUGUGUGUGUGUCUUUUUUUUUCCCCCGGGAAAUUAGCAGCUAUGAAUCAAUGACGCGUUAUACGUGCCUAAGUCCAUAAUGCUCUAUGGCAUUCCACUGAAAGGGGGGAAGGCUGAAGCCAUGAAAUACAGCUCCUCUCUGACUCUACCAAGCCUGUGUAGCCUUACCCAGUUCAUCUGUUUUUCAGCUACUUCCAGAGAGAAAUGGGGACAGGGACACCUCAGUGGUAAAGCACUGUAGGUUUGCUGAUGUGGCGCUGUGUGAAAGCUCAGAGCUAUUACUACUGCUGUUGAAAUAAUUUAAUGGGAAAGAAAAUGAUGAUAGGUCUCUGUUCUUAAUACCUAACGAAGGUAAAAAGGGCUUGUCCCCUUGACUUUUAUUUGUUCCCAGUUAUAAAACUGGUUAUUCCUCUUCCUACAUAUUUCUCAUCAUUAUUCUUCCUACACAAACCUUGACUCCUCUUAUAUAAACAUCCACAGAAGAUGCUGCUGAUUUCAUACAGUAGAUCAGCAACAAAACCCAAUGCACGUGUUUGCCUACCCUGGCUGAACUCCGUGUGGGGCAAGCGAGCAGGAUGGGGUGACAGAAGGCCAACUUGGGGUCAGAGGUCUCCUCCUGUUCACAACUGGUGAGCAUCAGCAUGCAGCACAUGGAGGUAGACCCGCAAUCACCGAAUGCAUCAGUUAACGAACUGCUUCAUUCCAGAAUUUGGAUGGGUUAAUCAGCUUGAAUCUUACCCUUCAUCAAUGCUAUCUUUUAAUCUUUAACUUGACUCCUCGAUUCCCUUUGUGUAGAGCCAGACUCACAAAGUUCAUCAACUGCCUCCCUUACCAGUCCUGGUUCCGGAGAAAAUCUGCUACUCUUCUGAAAGUAAUGCCACUGAGCAAUAUUCUCUGCUUCAGCUUUGUAAAAGCAAGAUUAAUUAUCCAAUAGGAAGCUCCAAUUUCAGCAGGAUUUCAAAAAAACAACAACCCAAAAAGACAACUCAGAAGGUUUUUAUCCAAUUUUUCCCAAGCCAGCUGUAAUGCACAAGAAAUGGCUGCUGCUCUCCAAACUCUUCUGCCGUUUCCUACUAAAAAUAAGCCCCAUGCAAUCAAUCCCGAUUGUCAGGCGGUGGAGACGAGGACCUCGAGAGCUGCAAUUAGCGCGGUAACUAUAGCACAGAGCGCUCAUCAAUUAAUGGUGCCACAUUACUGCUUCAUAAUGAAAAUAAUUCAGGAAAUGUGGAGAGACAGAAAUGACUCCAGGAAAUGUAGUUUAUAUGCUCAUUAGAUAAUUAUUUAUAUUUCUAUUAGAUGUGGUUUCUCAGACAAAUGAUUUAUUUAUUUUAAGUAUUUCUUAAAUACAUGCUCAUUAAAGCUUUUCUUCUACCUGGGUCCCCCGGUUCAUUUCCAUCUGUUUUCAAUAGACGGAAAAGUUUCAGAUUUAAGAGGAUCGAGCCUUUUGGAACACAAUGAGAAAUGGAAUCACUCGUUGAGGGAAAAAAGGAAUUUCUGCUGUUGUUAAUGGCCCAGCCCUCAGCACCUUUCCGUGCAGAGUAUUUUAUUUUCUUCUGGAUGCCUCAGUGCUCUUCAAAAAUAAUUACUUUUGAACAGGUCUUCCUGAUUCUACUUAUCGUCAACCCUUUGCUUUAGUCCUGGUUUUAUUCUAACAGUUGCUCCAACAGGACUGCAUGAAUAAGAAAAGUCUUUGACCAAAAACUUGUAAGGAAGUUAUGAAAGACUGCUUUGAACAAAACCACUCGUUUUGUUUGUUCGGAAUAGUUGAGAAUGAAGGGUUGGAGUUUUUAUCAGUAUAUCACACGUACUUCCAUUGCCUUAACGUGUGUGAUAACUUUCAGUAACUCAAGGUUUACUGUUUCAUUAUUUCCUAAAUUCCCGUAGUUAGGAACUGUCUCCGCGUUAAAAAUAAAAUAAAAACGAUACAGAAACAUUCUCAGAGAUGCUUAGCUUCAGAAUUUCAGCAGUUCAACAAGAGCAGGGUGGCCGUGGGAAUACAGAACAGCAGUAAUAUUCCCGGAUUAGUUAGAAUUCUGAACCAAAGUGAGGGCCUCGCUUUGUGCUGUAAAUGUGCAGUUCCUGCGUGACUGAGCAUGCAGCUGGAGGAGCCGAAGGGAAGGAGAUGGAAGCUGCUGUUCCUGCUUACAGCCGGCAGCUGAAGGACGGGGGAACGUGAGACACGCGGCGGGACGCAGGGCUCCGCUCUGAUUCAAGGGCUCGGAGGAAGGCCGGCACUUUUGGGUGAAACAGUAACAUCCCCGUUCUCUUCAUGAAGCUGAGAGAGGACGUUCAGAAAAUGCAGAGAACAUCUGAAGGGCUUUCGUGUUAAAUAGCUCUUAUUUGAAUUUUUACAAGUGAAUUCAAGGCAGUAUACUUAAACGUUAUCAUUGUCAUGUUUAAGUGCUUCUGAAUGUGUUCUGCAGUGAAGAGGUACUGUGAAGGAAGCGACUACUCCAAUUACACUAGCCACGUGUAAUCAGCGCUUCUAUAUAACGUAUCUUCUGUUCUCUGGCACGUAGCUACUAUUUCUGGAGUGUACCUGGAGCACCGAGGGCAAAGCAUCCUUACUGCAAAGCAGAUGAGAUUGCACUCUGUCCCGAUGAACAGCGGCUGCCUGCCUGCUUCUGGAGCGCUGCGGGGGAAAAGAAGUGUGUAGCACUACUCCCUGUUAUAAAGUCAUGCUGUCGACCCCAUCUGCAGGCAUGGCAAGAGUUCAUUCUCUCUUGUGGUCUGACCAUGUACCUGGGAUAGAUGGCCUGAUUGUAAAGUGUCCUGCCAGCAAGAUGGUCCUUUGGACAUCAGCUGAGACAAACAGGUAAUUUUUCACAUUCUAGAUACGGCACAAGGAGAAAAUACAGUUCCUGGUUCUCAUACAGUUCCUUUCAUCAACACAGAUGAAAAUCCCACCAUGUUCAAAGGGCAGUCUAAUAUGGAUUUGGCCUUUUACCCUUUCCUUGGAAGCAACUUGUACUCUCACCAGUGGAAACAGGUCAUUCCAAUGCACAGGUCAUCACCCCUACCGCUCAGAAACAUCAGUUUUCAACAUUCCUAGAAGGCGUCUUUCUGGGAUUUUGCAAUAACUUUACUGGUUGGAUUCCUUGAAGAUAGAGUAGGUAGAUGCCUGGAGGUUUGAUGUAAUGAAUUUGUACUUAGGUGUAACUAAAUGUAUCUGCUUGACAACUCGUGAACUGCCAUUAAAACAUCUUCCAGGUAAUUUAUCUCCUAUGGGAGACUGCUUGCACUGAACCACAAAAUUUUCUAGGUUAGGAAGCAGGGACAUAGUUGACAUGAGUUGGUGGCUGCCUGGUCUGCCUACUAUCCUCAGGCACGAAUUACAAUAUUAUGGUAUAUAAUUCACAGCUGAGAAUAUCUCAAUUAAAACGUAUUAACUUCAGUAAUAAAAUGUAUGCACUGAAUUUUACUUGCUUAUUGUUUAUAGUCUCUGAUGGAGGAAAAGAAAUAUCUAAGGUAACACUAGGUUAUGAUCACAAUGUAACACCAUACUCUAUGGAAGACAGACAAUGUGCUUUUCCUGUCCCAUAAACAUUUUGCCCUUAAGACAAGCAUGGAACAAUGGGAUAGACAAUAUACAAGGCUGCAAGAACUGCAGAAGCCGUAGCUUGAAGAAAGCAGUAAGAGGGCAUUUGUAAUGAGAAUAAUAAAAUAUUCCAGCUGGCAAAUAUUAAAGCAUUCAGAUACGAUGCUAGAAUUGUAAUGAAUUUAGAUGAUACAUUGUAGUAGAAUUCAUAAAAGACAUCAUGACUUCUUUGUGAAAAAGAAUCAGAUGGCACAACUGGAAAGUCUGUCAGUACAAAAAAGAUCUUUUAUAGAGAAAAUGAAUUUAAGCACUCACAUGAAAGAUGGCUGUAUAAAGACAUGAUAUGAUUGCAUAGCUGGAAUAGAUCACAUACAAAGGAGUAGUCAGCUUGUAGUUUGGCAAGGAAAGAGAAGGUGUCAGGCACGCAAAGUCAGAAUAACUGUGCUGCCGCACAAUAACCUUGAUGCCAGCAGCUACUGGGCUGCACCAGGAAAUGGAAGAAGUACAAACCCACAUAAUUUCAAUAUAUAAAGAAGACAGAAAGCAUAUGAGUAACUUUACACAUGCACGUUGUCGGUCCAAAUUCAAAUGGAAUUACUCAUGUGAAUAAAACCAGUGAUAGGCAUGAGCCUGCACAAUGUAGCCUAGAUACCAGAGCAAAAGAAGGACCAACUCUUUUGUUACAAAGCCUGAAAAAAUGUUUUGCAAGCUGUUUUCAUAUUCAGACUUAGAAUGACAGGGUUCAUUUUUGCCUGGCUCCUGGCUUUCUGAGAAAUCCCCACUUCCAGCUAGUGCGGUCCAGCAUUCAUUCGAAGCCAGACACACUCUGGCUUGGGAUUUGGAUGGUUGCAUUUCUUUGUCUUUUGCUGGGUGGAAGGCGUUUUGUCACUUUAUGCUCUUUGAGCGUGGAAAAGGGAAUGUGCAAAAGGAGGGAUGUAUGGGGAAUGUCCCAGAGUGGAAUGGAGCACAGUGCUGGCCCCACUGCUGGCCUCCUGUGAUGGAAGCCGCUUCCUUCCUCUCACGCUUAUCCUUUCGUUUCAUACUUUCUGGGUGAUGGCACCUUUUGCUGUGUGCACUGCGGUGUCUGCCAAACAUCGCUGCCCUCACCUCCGGGCCUGUGCCUGCAGACCCUCUGGGCACUAACCCUCACCAUGUCAUCUGGAUUUGGGCACAAAACAAAAAGAAAACCGCAACAUCACCGCCCUGCUUUGAGUCGGAAGCGAAUCCUGCCCGGCUGCCUCUCCCCCCACGCCUCCCCUGGAGCAUGCCCAGCGGCCACCCGGCUCUCAGCCCCUCGCCCCAGGCCCACCCGGCCGCACGUCACCCCUCGCCCCGCAGCAGGAGGGGACCCCCGGGCCGGGCCCGCCCGACAGCGGGAAGGGC